rnacentral:piRNA from 1 species
UGGGGCAACUGGUCAAAAAUUGGUACAUGA